UACGUAGGGGGCAAGCGUUGUCCGGAUUCAUUGCGCGUAAAGAGCGUGUAGGCGGCCAGGUAGGUCGGUUGUGAAAACUGGAGGCUCAACCUUCAGAGGUCGACCGAAACCAUCUGGCUAGAGUCCGGGAGAGGAGAGUGGAAUUCCUGGUGUAGCGGUGAAAUGCGCAGAUAUCAGGAAGAACACCCGUGGCGAAAGCGGCUCUCUGGAACGGUACUGACGCUGAGACGCGAAAGCGUGGGGAGCGAACAGG
rnacentral:rRNA from 1 species